rnacentral:rRNA from 1 species
CCUACGGGGGGCAGCAGUGGGGAAUAUUGGACAAUGGGCGAAAGCCUGAUCCAGCCAUGCCGCGUGUGUGAAGAAGGUCUUCGGAUUGUAAAGCACUUUAAGUUGGGAGGAAGGGUUGUAGAUUAAUACUCUGCAAUUUUGACGUUACCAACAGAAUAAGCACCGGCUAACUUCGUGCCAGCAGCCGCGGUAAUACGAAGGGUGCAAGCGUUAAUCGGAAUUACUGGGCGUAAAGCGCGCGUAGGUGGUUCGUUAAGUUGGAUGUGAAAGCCCCGGGCUCAACCUGGGAACUGCAUCCAAAACUGGCGAGCUAGAGUACGGUAGAGGGUGGUGGAAGUUCCUGUGUAGCGGUGAAAUGCGUAGAUAUAGGAAGGAACACCAGUGGCGAAGGCGACCACCUGGACUGAUACUGACACUGAGGUGCGAAAGCGUGGGGAGCAAACAGGAUUAGAUACCCGUGUAGUCU